UAAGGAAUAUUGGACAAUGGACGAAACUCUGAUCCAGCCAUGCCGCGUCCAGGAUGACAACCCUCACGGGUUGUAAACUGCUUUUAUACAGGAAGAAACACUCCUCACGUGUCMGAAUUUGACGGUACUGUAAGAAUAAGGAUCGGCUAACUCCGUGCCAGCAGCCGCGGUAAUACGGAGGAUCCAAGCGUUAUCCGGAAUCAUUGGGUUUAAAGGGUCCGCAGGCUGUUUUUUAAGUCAGAGGUGAAAUCCUACAGCUCAACUGUAGAACUGCCUUUGAUACUGAAAAACUUGAGUUAUUGUGAAGUGAGUUAGAAUGUGUGGUGUAGCGGUGAAAUGCAUAGAUAUCACACYAGAAUACCGAUUGCGAAGGCAGAUCUACUAACAAUAUACUGACGCUCGAUGGAUCGAAAGCGUGGGGUAGCGAACAGGAUUAGAUACCCUGGUAGUCCACGCCGUAAACGAUGGAUACUAGCUGUUCGUCUAACAUUGGUUAGAUGAGUGGCUAAGCGAAUAGUUGAUAAGUAUCCCACGCUGGGGAGUACGGUCGCAAGUACU
rnacentral:rRNA from 1 species